GUUUAAGGGACAAAGAGAAAAAGAGUGCAUCCACUUUAAUUCUCCAUUCAGGACAGCAGUACGAGGAAACAGAAACUUCAGACCAGGAUGCCCUCACUGUGGAUGGGAUCCCACUGUGAGUGCAAGGUAAAGGAGAGGAGAAGAAGCAGAAGAAAUUCAUCCAGCUGAUGGAUAUUUUAUGCUCUGAGUGCAUUAUAAUGAACCAGUCACUACCUAGGCCAGUGGGGUGGCCAACAGGCGUUUUUCAAGCUUUUUUAAGGUGACCAUCCAUAGGUACUGCUGUUGAACAUGCACUGAAAAUAUAUAUUUAUUUAUUGAUAAACUUCAUAUGGUAAUACUGCUACCCAAAAAAAGGCUUAUUCAGGAUCACAUACAUAGUUGGCAUCUGUGUUUAUGGUUCUCUGUUUCUUGCAAUAAUGUGCAUUAAAUUUAUCAAUAUCUUAACACUGGGUCAGAAGAAAUAGAUAUUUGGAUGGGAAAUUGUUAUAUAACACUUUAGCUUGAAGAGAUUUUUCCAGAUGUGAGAUGCUGGUAACUCACCAUAAUUAAAUGGGAAGUCUAUGA